GCCUGGCUGGCUCCGUCGCCAUGGCAUGGGAUUCUUGAUCUCAGGGUCAUGAGUUCAAGACCCAUGCUGGGCA
rnacentral:tRNA from 1 species